ACUCCUACGGGAGGCAGCAGUGGGGAAUAUUGCACAAUGGGGAAACCCUGAUGCAGCCAUGCCGCGUGUGUGAAGAAGGCCUUCGGUUGUAAAGCACUUUCAGUAGGGAGGAAGGUAGUGUAGUUAACACCUGCACUAUUUUGACGUUACCUACAGAAGAAGCACCGGCUAACUCCGUGCCAGCAGCCGCGGUAAUACGGAGGGUGCGAGCGUUAAUCGGAAUUACUGGGCGUAAAGCGCAUGCAGGCGGCCUGUUAAGUCAGAUGUGAAAGCCCGGGGCUUAACCUCGGAAUUGCAUUUGAAACUGGCAGGCUAGAGUCUUGUAGAGGGGGUAGGAAUUUCAGGUGUAGCGGUGAAAUGCGUAGA
rnacentral:rRNA from 1 species